AGUGAACGCUGGCGGUAGGCCUAACACAUGCAAGUCGAACGGCAGCACAGUAAGAGCUUGCUCUUACGGGUGGCGAGGGGCGGACGGGUGAGGAAUACAUCGGAAUCUACUUUUUCGUGGGGGAUAACGUAGGGAAACUUACGCUAAUACCGCAUAUGACCUACGGGUGAAAGCAGGGGAUAUUCGGACCUUGCGCGAUUGAAUUAGCCGAUGUCGGAUUAGAUAGUUGACGGGGUAAAGGACCACCAAGGCGACGAUCCGUAGCUUGUCCGAGAGGAGGAUCAGCAACAUUGGAACGGAGAAACGGCCCAAAUCCCAACGGGAGGCAGCGGAGGGAAAUUUUGGACAAUGGGCGCAAGCUUGAUGCAGCAAGACGGCGGAGGUGAAGAGGGCCUGCGAGUGGUAAAGCCUUUUUGUAGGGAAAAAAAAACGGCAGGGUAAUUGCGCGCUGUUCGGACGGAACCCAAAAGAUAAGCACGGGCAAACUUCGU
rnacentral:rRNA from 1 species